rnacentral:tRNA from 1 species
GGCUUAGCUCAGUUGGUAGAGCAAUUGAUUCGUAAUCAAUAGGUCGCAGGUUCGACUCCCGUAGCCA